rnacentral:rRNA from 1 species
UGUAAAUNUNNGGAAAGGUGGGGAUGANUUCAAAUCAUCACGGCCCUAACCCNUUGGGAACACACGUGNUACAAUGGACGGNACAGAGAGCAGCCANUGCGCAAGCAGGAGCGAAUNUACAAAACCGUUCUCAGUUCGGAUCGGAGUCUGCAANUNGANUUCCGUGAAGCUGGAAUCGCUAGUAAUCGGAUAUCAGCCAUGAUCCCGGUGAAUACGUUUCCCGGGCCUUGUACACACCGCCCGUCAAGCCAUGGAAGCUGGGGG